CCUAGCCUUAAACACAAGUGAUGCAUUUACACCUUUCGCUUGCCAGGGUACUACGAGCCCCAGCUUAAAACCCAAAGGACUUGGCGGUGCUUUAGACCCCCCUAGAGGAGCCUGUUCUAGAACCGAUAACCCCCGUUAAACCUCACCCUCUCUUGUUAAUCCCGCCUAUAUACCGCCGUCGUCAGCUUACCCUGUGAAGGAACUACAGUGAGCUUAAUUGGUACAACCUAAAACGUCAGGUCGAGGUGUAGCGUACGAGAGGGGAAGAAAUGGGCUACAUUCACUGAUACAGUGCACACGAACAAUGCCUUGAAAUAGACAUUAAAAGGAGGAUUUAGCAGUAAGGAGAGAACAGAGUGCUCCCCUGAAACUGGCCCUGAAGCGCGCA
rnacentral:rRNA from 1 species